UAGUAUAUAAGAUCGCUUACUCUGGUCUUUGUGGGAGAGUUCUUUAUUUGGGAACUGAUUGUUCGCUUAGCCAAAAAGGUUGGAAGAUAGAGUUGGAAUUUCUUAGCAAAUAGUUGCAGAGAGAGAAUCAGUUAAUUACAUCACUCAUAUAAGAUAUGCGAUUUAGAUAUACGCUUUCUUUGUUUGUUCAUUGUUUGUUUGAAACUUGUCGAAUUUCUGAAG
rnacentral:misc_RNA from 1 species